CUGAACCAGCCAAGUAGCGUGCAGGAUGACGGCCCUAUGGGUUGUAAACUGCUUUUGUAUGGGGAUAAAGUCAAUCACGUGUGAUUGUUUGCAGGUACCAUACGAAUAAGGACCGGCUAAUUUCGUGCCAGCAGCCGCGGUAAUACGGAAGGUCCGGGCGUUAUCCGGAUUUAUUGGGUUUAAAGGGAGCGUAGGCCGGAGAUUAAGUCAGUUGUGAAAGUUUGCGG
rnacentral:rRNA from 1 species